rnacentral:rRNA from 1 species
GAAAAAAAAUCAGCCUUUUGCUUUUAUUGUUUUCUGUUUAAGCAACCAAGAGCUGAAAACUAUGGUAUUGAAGCAUUCACGAGAAAUGGAUUCAAAUCUUGGAAGGAUGGACCUAAAGUUUUUAAUCAGCAUGUUGGCAAGCAUGAUAGUGCUCAUAAUAAAUCUAGGCAACAUUAUGAGGAUUUCAAAAAUCAAAGACAAAAUCUGCCACAUGUCUUUGAUAGGGGUUCUCAGAAGCAAGAAGAAGAAUACAAAGCCCGUCUCUUGAUUAUAUUGGGUAUUGUCAAAUUUUUGAUACUACAAGCUCUCGCUUUUCGUGGUCAUGAUGAGUCUACUAGCUCAAUGAAUAAGGGUAACUUUAAAGAGUUGUUGGACUUGUUCAUAAAGAAAGACCCAAAGGUUAUCGCACACGUAAAGGUGUUUUGCCUCGUCCUACACGUUUAG